rnacentral:tRNA from 1 species
GCCUUCGUGGUGUAGUGGUCAGCACGCUCGACGCGUAACCUAGAGGUCAGUGGUUCGAUUCCCGGCGAAGGCG